AGGAAGUCUGGAGAUAACACAGGAUGGGGGAGGAAGUGGAGGACGCAAGCUCCCUCCUGGCCGGGUGCCCCCUCUCCCUGGCGCCGGAGCUGCCCGUGAUCAGCUGCCUUCAAGUCUCCGUGGCGUGAGCCGAGCUGCCUCGAAGUGUCAGGAGGCCCCAAGCAUUUCUGGCCACUUCCGGUCCAAGUGGCUCUAUUUCUGGCAGUUUAAUUUUAGAUGCUCCGCUCCGGCGUGGGAAGGAAGACAGGAAGGGCACUUAGGUGGCUGGACCAGAGGGGAACUACAGCUGCACGACUUUUCAGACUGUGUCCCGUUAGCAACAGGCUGCUCGUGGCUGCUGAGCUGUGCCACCCACACCUACUUCCAGGUCGGAGGGCCGGGAGGGCAGGGGACCAGGCUGAGCCGAGGCCAGAUACAGCUGGGAAGCUCUUCUACACCGAAGAAACCAGGGUGUGUUUGCAGAAGAACCAGCACAUUCUGAGGAACUUGGGCCUCCUUGUAAGGAUGGGGAUGGGCUAGGAGUCGGCCAGGCCCCGGUCAUGACCCCAGGAUGAUGUGAGGAUUCGUGGACACAACAGCAGGUCUGGGCCAGCUCAGUGCCUGGCACCCGGCACGACAUCCGUCAGUGAUCGCCUGUCUCCUGCCCUGUCCCUCUCUUCCCUCAUAGAGGCAUCUCAGGGGGGAAGAGGCUGCCCAGGACCAGAUAGCUUGCCUUUGGGGACUCCGGCCAGCGUGGAAAUCCACAGGCCUGAGGGUGGAGGCCAGUAGGAAAGAAUUUGGGUGGGGAUGGUCUUUAAAAACUGGUCACCACAGGAGUGGUGACUGACGAGUCUCCUGAUACUUAAGAAAGGGAAAGGGUAAGUUUCCAGAUCUAAGACUGAUGGAUUAUAUUUUUGAUUGAGCUCAUCCCUGGCCCGAAUUCUGGGACACGUUAUAAAACAGAAAAGAAAGUGGAGAUCACAAAGAAGUCUGGUUUGUUUGGUAUUACAAUAUUUACUUGUCUGUUUACUUAUAGGGCUGAGCAGAGGGCUGGUGCUCGAUCCGCGCACUUGAAAAUGAACUGUUAGCAAGCCAGGGUGAUGUCAUUUGCCCCUGGCCACGGGGUUCCUAUGGGUGUCCCAGGAAAAUGCCCUAUGGGUAGGCUAUUUGGAAAUUUGGCAGGGCAUUUCAGAGUCCCUCCUGAAAUCUUCGUGAACCACAGAGGGGAAAUGGGAACUGAAUGUUGGCCAGUUGAGGUAGGACUGAAUUUGGUUGUUGGACUAGCUGUGAAUCUGGUAGAGCUGUGAGAUUGCCGAUAUUUGACCAUUUUGACCUACAAACAUGGCCAGGUCGCACGGUUCACCGGCUAUUUAUUGGACUAGGAAACUGCAUAAAUCCCUUCCAGCACAAGGGCUCUGUAUUGCUAGGAGACUCUGCUUGCCCAGAGAAGCUGGAACUCCAGCCACUGCAUGGAGGUGAAGACUCCGAUUCUGGGGUCAGAGGCUCUUGGCUCAAAUUCUGGCCCCUACCACUCCUAGGGUUCAUGAAGGAGCAUGCACAGUGUGCCCAGCCUGGUGCCUGCCCAGGGCUGGCCCCUCUCUCUGCUGAGGGUCUUUGCACCAUCACCUGCUCUCUGCUCUACCCCGGGGUGAGAGGCAAAGCAGGAAUGAAGCCAGGAGGUGUAAGGUCAGAGCUGUAAGUGGCAGUGCAUUGGGUUUGGGAUCCAGGGGGAACAACAGGGGUAGGGGAACUUUGUGCAGUGGAUAGAACCAAAGGAUGGGGAGGCGCUAGGAAGAUGCCAUGAGCAUUGAGACUAGCAUUUGCCAAAAUGUAGAUAGCAACCGGGGCCAGAGACAUAAGUAGGGCGCUCAAGGAUCUAGUUUGUUAGUUAUUGCUGCAAAACCAACUCUCAGCCCCCAACUCAGUGGCCUCCAACAGCAAGUCUUUGUUCUCAAGAUCAAGGGUCUAUGGGAUGGACGCCGGACCUGGGGGUGGCUAUUUCAGACGUGGGUUGGAUUUUUGUUCUCGUUUUAGGAUGAAGAGAAGGAGCAUGGCUAGGGCAUGUUUUCCUCAAGGGGUGAAUGGAAGCAUGCCAUGUUCCUUGAGGCCUGUCACUUCUACCUAAAUCCCAUUGGCCACGGCAAGGCCAGGUUGGAUGAGGGAGGAGGGUGCACAAACCCUAUGGAGGUGGAGGAGGGGGAAUGAAUGAUCACCAGACAAGAAUCCAUUUUGCCACCAUGUUCAUCUGUAGGAAAGAGUCAGCAGCCACUAACACGAGUACUCAGGGGUGUGAAGACGUGGCCUUCCAAACAGUCUACAUUGAUUUUUCACAAGACCACUGAGGACCUGUCAGUAGGGAUGCCAUUGUACGAAUGACAAGACUUCUAUGAACCUCGAGGAGCAGGAGAAGCAAAUGCCAAAGGUUACCAGAAUCCUCCAGGGGCUGACAUCUGCCCCAGGGGACCCUUUGGUCAGUGUGUUGGAUCAAGAACUCCCCCUGCCCCCCAGGCAUUGGCUCGGUGGAAUGUGACUGGGUGACACACCAUCCUUCUCUGUUCUCCUGGGACUACGAUCUAAGCUCAGGAAGAGCCCUGACCGCUAACCACAGCCUUAGCUAGGAGCUCCCUGCUGUACCUGACGCAGGUGCCAGUGACCACUGGACAGCACUUUGGCAAGACGUGGGGUGGCAGCCGUUGAUCUGUGAGUCUCCCCCUGAGCAGAGAGGCUGGCAGCUUGUGAUUCACUCUGGGGCUGAAGGGGGUUGAGCCGAAUAACAACCCCGUGGAAAGUGGGAAUUAAACAGAUCUUUCAGCCUUGGCUCCCCGGCUUCAUGGACCUUGCUAACAAAUCACAGGCCCCGGUGCCAGGCCAUCAACACAGCUGCAGGAGAUGGGACGGCCGGGUUUUGAUGGCUGACUUGGUUGAUGCUUGGACCGAGGGUAUCAUCAAUCUUGAUACUUUUGGAAAGCUGUAUGGAUUUUGCUGGGGGAGGAGACUAGCUAUAUUAGUGGGUUAGGAAGGCUUAUAAAUUAAAAGCAUGUUGCUGGUAGUUCUUUCGAAGUUCUCUGUGGCAUUUUACAUCCACCCUUACAUAAAAACAUCUAACAUUUAUUGGAGUACGUCCCAUGUGCCAGAUAGUGUGGAGGUCUCCCAUGGAUGAGCCUCCUGUGUUAAUCUUCACCAUGACGCUCUGAGGGAGGAACAAUUCUUUUUUUUCCCCCUUUUUUCUUUUUUAAAAAAGAAUUUACUGGGACACUUGCGUGGCUCAGCGGUUG